AUGCCGAACACGUCUGUAUUGGCAGAUUCGCUGCAGGCCAUGACAACCCAUGGCGAGGCAAAACUGAAAGAUGUGAAGAACAUGAAUUGGUGUAUGUUCAUUGCCGACUUCCUGCAUGAUGCAUUCUCAAGCAAGAUGUACCAGAAGGGUUGUCGACUACAUUUAAUGCUCAUGUACGUCAAUUGUCUUGAUCUGUCCACUGUGGAUUUCACUGGGAUAGGAGGCCCACCACCUACGCACAAGUUUGUUGUUUCUGCAUGGACUAUCGAUGCUGUCAAGGCUGUGCUUGCUGCAGACAGGGUAACUGAUACCAAAUAUGGAAAACUGCAGCUGAUGGCCAAGCAUGUUAUAGACUAUAGCGUGUUUGGGGGGCCUCAGAACUUUGGAAAGUGGAUGGACGUGCACUCAGCUCCGUCUUGCCCUACUGAGGCGAGGGCACCUGUUGAGCAUCUAAUUGGGCAGUUUGCAUUCGGAAUGACCGGCUUGCUCGUGAAGUUGGUUCAGGGUUGGACGUCCCUUAACGGCUCUGACAGCGACACGGUCGCGAGGCAGUUCACUACAUUUGUCCCAGAACGGUCACAUCGGCCAACUGGUUGUCGUGGCCGGUAUGACUACAACAGUUCCCAAGAGCCUGCCGACACACAAGAUCAACUAUAUGGAGACGCUGGUCUCAACAAGGAGGACGAAAAUGACAUGGAGAACGUGCAAGACGACAACGAUGACGACGAACAUGGCGAAGUUCAUGCAGGUGGUAAGAAGGGCAAGGAUGCACCAGAUGUCCCCCCACCGGACAAAGUCAAAGAACAUACGGCUGCGAGAGGCGAGCGGGUGUUGCCCUCAAAGAGGGGGAGGGGUCGAGAGGAUGAUGGGCAGGGUUCCCCUAGCAAGAGGUCUAGGAGCGAUCCCGUAGCUGCUAGGAGGAGUGAGGUGAUAGCUGGUGGAUGA
rnacentral:rRNA from 1 species